rnacentral:tRNA from 1 species
GAGGGUAUAGCUCAGUGGUAGAGCGUGUGCUUAGCAUGCACAAGGUCCUGGUUUCAGUCAGCAGCACCUCCU